AGUGAACGCUGGCGGUAGGCCUAACACAUGCAAGUCGAACGGCAGCACAGUAAGAGCUUGCUCUUACGGGUGGCGAGUGGCGGACGGGUGAGGAAUACAUCGGAAUCUACUUUUUCGUGGGGGAUAACGUAGGGAAACUUACGCUAAUACCGCAUACGACCUACGGGUGAAAGUAGGGGAUCUUCGGACCUUGCGCGAUUGAAUGAGCCGAUGUCGGAUUAGCUAGUUGGCGGGGUAAAGGCCCACCAAGGCGACGAUCCGUAGCUGGUCUGAGAGGAUGGAUCGGCACCAUUGAAACUGGGACACGGUCCAGACUCCUACGGGAGGCAGAGGUGGGGAAUUUUGAACAAUGGGGGCAGGCCUGAUCCAGCCAUACCGCGUGGGUGAAGAGGGCCUUCGGGUUGUAAAGCCCUUUUGUUGGGAAGGAAAGCAGCAGGUUAAUACCCCGCUGUUCUGACGGUACCCAAAGAAUAAGCACCGGCUAACUUCGUG
rnacentral:rRNA from 1 species